UAGACUGAAUCUGAAUGCGUCGCCUUGUUGUUCCAAAUGUAGUACUAGUUGGCUGCUGUUGACUCUGCCUGUCUCUCUGCGAGUAGUGGUAGUGGUAGAUGAUUGCCAACGCUUCGUUGGCUCCUUGGUUGUUAGAGGUGAACUUGUUGCUUUUGCAAACUGAUAUCACUAUCUAGAAAAUGUUGCAGUCGUGGUUCCAUAUCCGUAUCAGUGAUGAAUUUGAUUGAUGCUGUCUUUUCUACUCUUGUGAACUGAACACUCUGUCCGCGAGCUCUAGUGCUGAUGGACCGGAAUUGCUGGUGCUUGCCAAUGCUACUCACGCAAACUGGGAUGCGAUUUAGAAUAACGAUGCAUUGAUGCUGCUCGUUUGUGAUUUCUUCAGUCUCUGAUUUGAUUUAGAAUAGCAAGUGCUUGCACUGCUCUCUGCAAUGUGUUUAUGCUUUUGUACGGUACCAAUUUAAGUUCAGUUUCCAGACCCUGCCCAUCAGUAGGUUCCAUUUCUGCACGAGACCGAGAAAACCAGUGUUGAGUGGGACGGGUGCCACUGAACGCGCUGACCGCUCCAUUGCCGCCUGUGAUGAUCAUUGCAAUGCAGAACUGAGAGCCUUGGCAUGUCCUAUGUCCGGUUCUUCGUUUCGGCACCCCAGUAGUUAGCAUUGCUAAUCUAUUACUCUGCAAUUGCCUGAAAAUCAAAUCGGAGGGAGUAGCAAUUGGUAAACCAGGCUGUUACUCUGAUAAUGUCAAAUGUGAGUUUACAUAGUACUGUACAAUACUAUGUACAAGCAAUGCGUGGCAAAAAUAAAAUAACGAAUGUUCCAAUUCACAUACUAGUAAACGGUAAUGGCUUUGUCUUUGAAGAGAUACUUCGGAGGUCUGAAAAGUUGCGGAUCAGCAAUGGAGCCACGUCGAGUUUGGACGAAGAGGUGAUCUGCCCUCUUUUUUACUUUGGUGACCGCUUUGAUGGUGUCGGAGAAGGGUGACAGAAGCUGGCAUCAAGCUCAAGAGAUUCUUCGGUCUUGACUUGUACUUUAUUCUUAGGCGACCGCCGCUGUUAGGCGGUUAAACAUUUUUUAAAUUAAAAAAAUGCAUGCACUUUUCUGUAUCUUAAGUUGCACAUAUUUUUGUGCAACUCUAGUACUCUCAAUAUUCAAGUCGGUCAAAAUCAAACAGGGAGGUUUUCUUUUGUGGGAAUGCCAAAGUAGGUUAAGCUACAUUUUUUUAGCAAACUAACCGACUUUCUUAAAAAUCAAUCAAAGUUCUUCAAAAGUCACAUCUAGUCACAUCUCUAACCGAAGUCAAAUGAAUAUCAAUUUUGUAUAAGCUGGGCUAACCUCAACUUCUUUUGAAAAGUCACACAGCCACCCAUGAGGUAUCUAGAGCAUGUAUGUGGUUGGGCCACACCCCUUGCCUUGUUCACUAUCAUCAUCAUACCACCAUCACUACCACCACUUCCCGGUGACUGAUGAUAAUCCACUUGAACUAGAGCCGACUAUCCGUCCAAACAGAACACGAAAUGCUUCUUGGUGUCAGGUGCAUGGUCUAUGAACGCCACGCCAUGACAAAAGUUUAGCCAUGCAAGUUUUAUUAUAUUGUCAUUGCAAAAAACAAACCUAUAAUGGAAGAACCUAAAAUCAUAACUAUGGCAUUGAUCCGUAGUUCUCCCACUCUUGAUAGCUUGUGAUAGAAAAACAGGAUAAAACUUUUUUUUUUGGAGUGAAGAGAGAAUUUGGUAGAGCAGAAAAUAAAAAAAUGGAGCUUUCCCUCUGGCAGCCAAAGUUUUUUUUACUCUUGGUGGUAGACGGUUAAUUGGGUGGGCCAGGUGGCAAAUCAGGACUACACACAAAAUGGGUUUGCCACAUGGGCUUCAAUAACUGUUGAGCCAUAUAUCCUGCAGGCUCAGGCCAUGGCCGUGGAAGUGCAUACAAACCAGGCUUUCGUAUGCCUAAAAAAUCCCAGGCCCCGCUUGGGAGAUCUGGAAAAUAUACCCCUGUAAAUAUUCUACAUCUGUAUUUUACUUGCCACCAAUGGAAGGGGGAACCACGUGACACUCGUGGUAGGCAAUCCAAACUUGGUGAACCAAUGGAAGGGGAAUCAGUUCAAAGAAGUAAAUGGAAGGGGGAACUUAUUUGGCGCACAGGUCACCGGUUAGCGACCGCGCACGUACCUCCCUCAUGCAUGCGUUUUUGUAUGGGCCGGUCCAUUUAUGAGUUUCAUCCAACCUAUUUUGGGAAGGUUAUCCUUCCCUGAACCUUUUUUAUUUUUAUUUUUUUCUUUCGGUUUUAUCUCUCUCCUUUUCUUUUUUCCUGUUUGUUUAUGUUUAUUUUCCUGUUUACUUUUUCUUUUUUUCUUUUAUUUUCUGUUUUUCAUUUUCAUUUUUUUUUUUCAAUUUUAAAAAUGUUUUAAAAUUCGUGAACAUUUUGUAAAAUCAUAGACAUUUUUUUGAAAUCAUGAACGUUUUAUAAAUUCACAAAAUUAUUUUCGAACAUGUUCUACAAAUUCAUGAAAGUUAUCUGAAAUCAUUAACAUUUUCCGAAUUCGUCUACAUUUUCAAAUUCAUAAACAGAAUUUUGAAAUAAUGAACAUUUUUAAAUUGGUGCACAUUUUUUUUACAAAACGUGAGAUUUUCAAAUUCAUGAGCUGUUUUGAAAUCACGAACAAUUUUUAAAUAUAUGAACAUUUCUUUUUACAAAUUUGUUAACAUUCUCUUUAAAAAGUUCUGAACAUUUUUCUGAGAGGGGUGCGCGCCGCGAUUGUUUUCCGGUGCGCGGUCGUCGAAUAGGAGGUCCCCCAAUGGAAUACCCUUGUAAAUAGUCCACCUUUGUAUUUUACUUGCCAUCAACGGAAUACCCAUGUAAAAUACAUCUGUCUUUGGUUGUGCCGGAGGCUGCAUCGAUGCGCAGAGCGGAGGAGAUGAAUUGGCCCAUCAUCUUUAUUGCCGGCUAUGACGAGCUUGCUCCCGUCACUCUGCAGUCGCCGCCGCCGUUGUUCCAGAGUUAGCUCCGGCAGUCGCCGCCAGCAUUGCCAUAGACCUUGCUUCGACAGUCGUUGCCGCCACGCAGUCCCUAAUGACAUUCCCACGGAGCCCCCGCUCUGUGCCUGACCAGGACCCCAAGCCCCCUGCUCGUCGUAGCCUCAACACGUCGGCCUGUGGGAGCUCCAGCUACGGCGACGCUCACACCAGAGACCCGCCAGGCUCGUGUUCCCUGCCACCGGUGCCUCACCCGUCCCGUGUGGUUCCGGCCGUCCGGCGGCGGGUGCGGGUGUGCCCUUCUCGUCGACUAGGUAAGUGAGACGUGAUGAGGAGUGUUUCUGAUACCAGCCAAAACCGAGUGCAUAAUAAUCUGGAAAACCCUGUAAACUUUACGGACCAAAACGACCAAGCAAUCGCCUAAUCGAAGCCCACCCGGAUUUCUUUACAGGACGAUCCAAUCGGGGGCCCAGGCUCUCGCUCCCUCUUUUCUUCCUUGUCUAAAGAAAAAAACGUUCUCUUUCUUCCCGCCUAUCCGCCGCCCCCCCCAAAAAAAAACUCCCCCCAAACCCACCAAGCAGCAGGUCGCCAUGGCGGAGGAGCAGAUGGAGGAGGCGGCGUCGUCCGCGGCGGCCUCCGGCACGCCGUUCCAGCUCCAGUUCGACAAGCCCAUCCCCUUCCAGGUNNNNNNNNNNNNNNNNNNNNNNNNNNNNNNNNNNNNNNNNNNNNNNNNNNNNNNNNNNNNNNNNNNNNNNNNNNNNNNNNNNNNNNNNNNNNNNNNNNNNNNNNNNNNNNNNNNNNNNNNNNNNNNNNNNNNNNNNNNNNNNNNNNNNNNNNNNNNNNNNNNNNNNNNNNNNNNNNNNNNNNNNNNNNNNNNNNNNNNNNNNNNNNNNNNNNNNNNNNNNNNNNNNNNNNNNNNNNNNNNNNNNNNNNNNNNNNNNNNNNNNNNNNNNNNNNNNNNNNNNNNNNNNNNNNNNNNNNNNNNNNNNNNNNNNNNNNNNNNNNNNNNNNNNNNNNNNNNNNNNNNNNNNNNNNNNNNNNNNNNNNNNNNNNNNNNNNNNNNNNNNNNNNNNNNNNNNNNNNNNNNNNNNNNNNNNNNNNNNNNNNNNNNNNNNNNNNNNNNNNNNNNNNNNNNNNNNNNNNNNNNNNNNNNNNNNNNNNNNNNNNNNNNNNNNNNNNNNNNNNNNNNNNNNNNNNNNNNNNNNNNNNNNNNNNNNNNNNNNNNNNNNNNNNNNNNNNNNNNNNNNNNNNNNNNNNNNNNNNNNNNNNNNNNNNNNNNNNNNNNNNNNNNNNNNNNNNNNNNNNNNNNNNNNNNNNNNNNNNNNNNNNNNNNCUUCUGCAUCGUCCCUCCCCUCCCCUCCCCGAAUUAGUGCAGGUCAGAAAGUCCCCUCUACCCCCGCAGCGGCGACUCGGGUGGCCGAAAACCUAGGCCCGCCGCCGGCCUUUCCUCGUCCCUCUCUCCUCCUCGUCGCCACCAGAGGGGUCCGCCGGCUCGCUGCGUGGGCUCCGGUGAAGGUGGUGGCGAGGAUCUCUCUCGCGGGGUGGGCUUCGGACACGAGGCGGCGGCCUCACGGGAGGACGCGGGUGGAUUUGGGCUGGUAAUCCAGGGGUGGCCGCACCCUUGCCGCAUGCCAACCGUUUGCCGAAAUUCCUAAGAGGGCUGGGCCGGGACCUAGUGGUUCCCUACUGUCACUUCGUGCGGCUGAGAGGGGUUUUGGCUGGGAUUUAGCGGUGGAUCGAUUCGUCUGACCUAAACACUAUCAGGAACCGCGCUAUUUUGAUAAUCUGGAACGGCAAACACCAUAUUUGUUUAUCGAGUUUAGCUUUGGCAUUUGCACCCAGUGAUCCAUUUUCCAGCCCUUAAGACAUGCUUGAUUCAUCCGAUUUCUAUUCUAUACCCUAUUCAGCAACAUUCAGCUAUAUAGACCCGACAGUUAGCGCUGCUUAAUAUUUGACAUCUUUAUGUAUUGCGUGCACCUUUUCCAUUUUCUGUUAUUUAUUUAUUAUAGAUUCAUAUUAAUAUGGUCCAUUAGUAAUUGUCUUACACAUGUUCUACUAUUGUUAGAUAAAAUUGGCAGAGUGGAACCCAGAGAAGGAUCUGCUUGCUAUGGUUACUGAUGACUCCAAGGUUCUCCUCCAUCGCUUCAAUUGGCAACGGCUGUGGACUAUAUCCCCUGGUUGCUACCCUCCCACCCCUUGGUGCUCAUAAUAAAAACGAUGAGCCAUCUAUCAAAUUAUUAUUUUUUCUUUCUUUUUAAAUGCCAAAAAACAAAUAUAGUUAUAGACAAUUCCUCAUGUUCGGUAUGUUCAAAGAAGUACAUGUCUUCUGUUGAGGUGCACCUUGUCUAUUCAACAAUAAGUACAUAAGCACAUAUUUUGCAGUCGUAUCCUAAGUAAAAGCCAGAUGCUUUGGCAAUUUGUGUUUAGAAGAAGUGAGAUCCCUGCUCCAUGACAAACUUCACAAGCUGAGAACACUGUCCGUUUUCUGUGUAGUCUUAUUAUACUUGCACCCUUAGGGCCUAUUUGGAAUGCAGGAUUCUAAAAAAGGCAGAUGCCAUGACUUCCUGGAUCUUACAGGAACUUGCAAACAUGUCUCUUUAGACUUCCACAAAAAGUUUGCUGGAAUUUGAAGAUAGAGAAUGUGCAUACAGGACACAGAAUAAUUUUCAUAGGGUCUAACCCCGAGAUCCUUUAAAAUUGGGAUGUUGGAGAGCAACCCAUAUAAUUUUUUGGUGGUCCCAUUCCUUCGAUCCAAAGGGCUUCUAUUCAAAAGUAAUCCUAUGGAUUGAAAUCCUACAAAAAUCGUAUAAAAAUCCUUUAACCCAUGGGAAGAGCUGGCAGAUCCGACAUCGGCACUGGAUAAUGGAUCACCUGGCGAUAGCCGAACUUCGAAAAUGAGCCUUUUCUUUUCCUUCCUCAAAAUGCAAGGGGCCCUUGAUGUAUGCUUUCUCAGUAGUUGAACUGACAGCAUCUGUUUUCAAGUUAAAAUGGUAGCAGGCACUAAAAUAGUAAAAUGCUUAUUUUUCAGGGAAGUGCAUCACAUCAAUUUGCUGGAGCCCUGAUGGUAAAAUAGUAGCACUUGGUACAGAAGAUGGUUUUGUUCUUUUGCAUGAUGUGGAGGUGUGUAUGCUGAAAGCAAUGGGUAGAAACUAUUGAUGGCUUCUUUUUUGUUGCCAGACUAUCUUUUCAUACUUCAUGCAAACCUGAACUCUGCAUGGUUCCUUAUAAUUUGCUAAUGGCACUGUUCUCAUUUUGGCCUUCAUAACUUUGGACUUUUAUGUAUGGAAUUAUUAGGAGAUCACUGGGGGCACAUGCUCCCAAGGACCUCUGAGACAACUAUGUGCAUACAUAAAGAAUAUGGAUCUUCCCAUAAAAAAUUGUGUCUCAGUAAUAUAAUGAAGUGGUUAGUUGAUGCUAAAACCAAACACAUUGAUACAGCACAUUCGAAUUGCUUUAUUUUCUGUUGAGCACCAUUUCGAAUUUGCAAUCUGUUGCAGUUUCAUCGUAACUGAAUUUGCAAUAUCAUUUUUUAUCACUGUGUGUUAGUAGUUAUUAUAAAAACUCCUUAUAUGAUCUCGAAGGUUGUAACAUAAGUACAUAAUCUAUUUUAUGUUUUGACUCUGUGCAAUUUGUGAUUUUUGUAUUACACAAACAAUCAUGCAUGCUAUUACAGUUUACUUGUUACUUCUAUUUACUUUACCACUUCGUGUAUGUAUAAAUAACAUGAGUGCUAAUUGCAGAAUGGGAAGAUGUUACGAAGUAUAAAAUCUCAUGAUGUUGCCAUCGUAUGUCUGAAUUGGGCAGAAGACGAACCACUAUCAAGGGUAUAUUUAUUCCCUUGAAAAACAUUUACUAUAUUUACUCAAGAUAUUAUUUGUUAAAUCACAUAUAGCUUGCAUCUUAUUGAAAAUUAUUCAGUGAAGCUUGCAACCGGAGAUGAUCAACUGCUUGAAUUUUGCACUUACUGAGAAUAGUAUAGGGUUUCAGUGGAAAAGUUCCUUACUAGAGCCCUCUGCUAAUUACUGCAGACUGACAAGGAAGACUUGUUAUCUUAUGAAGACCGCACUACACGUUUCUUUCCUCCUGCUCCCGUGAUGCCUAGGAUAGGCGGGCUCAAUUCGGGAGAUACUGGUCUUGCAGAUGAGAAUGAAGAAGCCAUUCAGGCAUUUUCAAGUGCUUCGUGUCAACGUUUUAAUAUUCUGUGCACUGGUGAUAAAGAUGGUUGCAUUUGCUUCAGUAUUUUUGGAAUAUUUCCAGUUGGAAAGAUAGUAAGUAAACACAAUAACUGAAUGCUCUACAUUUACAGUCAAUAUAAUCAGCUAUGCAUGCUUUCUUCUGAUUCUCAAGGUUGUUCUUAUCAUUAAUACUCUUUUGUUACUUUGACAGCAAGGCUCGUAUACGUUAACAGUAAAUAUGAUAUUAUGAAAUAGUUAUUUCUGCAAUAUUUUUACGAUCUAUGGAUAUUGACAGACUGUUGCCUACCUUUUGUCUUUGUAAAUGAUUAGUUCUGGGGCAUACCCUGGCAGUAAUGAGUUUAUUGUUGAUAUUUCAGAACAUAAAUAAGGUUCCAAUCCAUGUACAAUCCUCUGGAAAAAGAACUAGCUACCGACUUCAGGAUGUUUCCAUAAGCAAGGUCAUUAAUUCUUCACUUCUUAGGUUCUUAUGCACGUAUCAGUCUGCUGGAUAUGAUAUUCUGACCAAUAGUUGUUCUUAAUAUCAGGUCUCUUUAUCACGAAAUCUCCAUCAGUUGGUUCUUCUGUGCUCUGGAAAGCUGAUUAAUACUGACAACCUUUCUCUCAGUAAUGAUCUUUCUGUUGGGAUACAUUGUUUGCACCUUGAUACCUCUAUCUUUUUCAGCAGGUAAUGGCAUACCAAUUCCAUUGCCUUUUAAUGCCUUCUGUCCUUGUUCCGAUCCCAUCUUCUUCUUGUGGUCUUGUAUGAAAAUAAAAAUAGAUCCACAAAAGGUGCUAGAAUAACACAUUCACUGGCACCUAAAAGAUUGAACUCUGACACAUCCAAUUCACCAAUCACAACUAAUUAUUUGGCCAAGUGUAAAUAUCUUAGGCUUUUGUUGUUUCCCUAAAAUAUAGCAGCAGUAUUUCAGUACUAAAGUUUGUAAGGAUAUUGACUGCUGUGCUGUUCCUACUAAAAUUGAAUAAAGAUUUUUUUUAUUCUGUUUGUCUUAUCACCAAUAAAGGAAAAAUGAGCUACAUCAGGUGUCUCAACAAGCGUCAAGUAUUCAAGAUCUGGUCGAAGUUGCCCGUGCUUCCAUAUCUAUGAUGUCCAAACAAUGGUCAAAUGCUAUGAACUUAUUUCAUGAGAAAUUUAGUGCCUUGCCUUCUCUGCUUACUGCCCAUGGUAUGAUUGGUUUAUUUUGAAGCCAUAACCAUCAAGAAUCACAUACCUUUAUUUUUCUACGUUGGUCUAAGUUUUUGGCCGUUUACAGGGAUGGAAUCUAGCUCCGAGGAUGAGUUUAUGAGCCUUUUGUUUGGGACACAUACAAGUCCGGCUCUACAUCAAUUUCUAGUCAGCUCCCUUGGUGAAGCGGUAUUUAUUGCUAUUGCCAUUACUUGCAUACCUUCUUUUCUUAAAUAACCUGUCUAAAAUUGUUAUUUUUUAUAUGAAAGGGACUCAAGAGGAUAGCUAAGACUAUUGAAAGUGCUGGAAGAGAACUUCGUAUUGUUGUCAGUGAGCAUCUUCAGGUCAGCUACUACAUAAUGAUACCAGAGCAACAUAUUAUUGGUACUAUUGUCUGUAUUUUUGGUUCACUUCUAAUGGAUACUAUAGAGUUUGUUAGGCAGCUUCACGUCUUUCUGCUAUAAUUAGUUAAGUUGUUAGUGUUUUACUACUCCCUCCGUUCACCUUUGUAAGACCGUUUAGACAUUUAAGACAACACCCAAAACAGUUCAAUCUCAGCUGUCUAAAACGUCUUAUAAAAGUGAGCAGAGGGAGUAGUUAGGUGACUCAGUUAUUAAAAACAAAGUUAGUUGACUCAAACCAGGAAGAACUGUUAGUAUUGGUAGAAUACCACAGUCAUGUCUUCCUUUAUAUCACAACAUUAAAGUCGUAGCUCACUAAUUGGAGGUCAACCCAUCUGGUUUGGCCAGACUAAACAUGUGUUACACCUGCAACCUAUUUCAAGUUUCUGUAAUUGAAAUUGAGUUGCUUGCUAAUAUGUUCUUUAUUUAUAGCCUGCAGUCGAAAUUAUUUCAUUCAGACUUGCAGAACUGAGAGGCCUUGCGAGAUGGCGUUCAAGAUUUCAGAACAUUGGGUUAGAUGAAAAGCUUAUGGAUGGUGUAACUGAGAGGGUAGGGAUGCUAGUUGUGCAAGUUGAGCGCUUUUCAAGGGUUGCAGCUACUGUUCUUUAUCUGGUACACUUUUUUUCUUGGUUCAUGUUUUCUCAAAUUUUGUUGAGAAUUGGGACUUGUGUCAUCUUAAAAUGAGGCUCCUUCCUGAACAAGUGUGCAUAUCAUUUCCCUUUUUUUUUGCAUAUCCAGUUAUGGUUACUGAUGAUGAUGUACCUUUGGUAGUUUAUCAUGUAGUAACUUUCAUUGAUCCAUUAACUUUCCAGUUCCAAAAUUUCUUCAGCUGGGUUUUGAAGUGUGUUAAGAUAUUGUUAAGUGAACCAACUGAUCAAGUUCCAUCCACAAACAGGUUUAUGUCUUUCUUUCUUAUUGUCCUCUUCAUUCUCAUGUCAUGAAUUUUGUUAUUAACUAGCAGGGGAUUAUCUUCUGUAGUGAACUUGUGGUGAUUUUUCUGAAGUUUCUUCUUGGUAAGGAUCCAAUCAAGCAGUUACUUGAAACAGAUCAGAUAUUUGAGUGGGAUAUGUAAGUAGCAUGCCAGUUGUUGUUUUAUGUUUGCUAUUGAUUUAUUAGACUUUAUUUACACUAUCUGUAUAGUUUUGAAGAUUUUUGGUACCUAUUUGCAAGUUACUAUUCACCAUUUAUAAACAUAAGUGCAUGGUUGAUCUGGACACGGAUGGGUUGUACUGUUGUACUAUGGAAGUUUUCGUAGAUGCAGUUUUUGUACAUGGUUGUGUCUUGGCGUUGCUAACUGCAUGGUUUAUCUUUAAAGAAGAAACAUCAUUCCUGCAUGUAUGUACCUUUGUGGUCUGGACGUUUUUAGCAUUGCUUUCAUAGUUCGAAGAUUUAUGGUACCUAUUCCCAAGUUGUGAUGAUGCGUGGCUAACUUAUUUAAUUGUGUGCAACACACUUCUUCAGUGAUACUGCGAAACAUGUUGAGCAUCUAGUAGUUUUUGGAGGAUUUACAGACACAAAGUUUUUGGAAAGGAGUUUGGCCAAGCAGUUUAGCGAGUUGGAAGAAAGGUGAAUCAUCUAAUUGCUUCAAAUUAUUUGCCAGUACACGUGUCUCGACUCAAUGUACUGUCAGUCAAAUCUUUGUGUAUUCAGUUUCUUCAGACAGAAUAACUUUAAACUUGUUCCUUGUUACUUAAAAUAACAGUUCCUUCCUUUUGUGAAGCAGUUUUAUGCUAUGCUAACAACUCUAUAUCCCAUAUUUUUUAGCUUGAAGGAGGCUUUCUUGAUGCCAUUCACCACUGUAUCUUCAAAAAUACAUUGCCAAGGAUUGCUUCCUCUUUAUCCUGUUACAUCGUCCGAUGCCUUGUCAUCAACCAGUACUCCAGCAUCAAUUGCGUUCUAUAAGGUUUAUGUUCUCUUUGGUGAUUUCUUCCAACAAACUAAUGGUCCUGAUGUGAACAUACUCAUUGCUUAUUUCCAUGUUUUUCUUUAACUUAUUCUGUACAUGCUUUGCAUUGAGUCCGUGAUCUGUCACUUUUCAGAGUCCUAACUGAUUACUCAAAAUAGCAGGAUAAAGAUUCUCAGCAUAAUGCUUCUUCAUAUAGCUCGACUGACUACAUAUGCUUCAAGAUACCUGAUGGAUCGUUAAAUUUAAGAAAUUUCGUUGCUGUGAUAAAGGACUUCUGCAACUCAUGUAGUACCUCCAACACACCAUCACUUUCAGGUUUUCUGUUGCAUAUACCUGUAGAAUACGAGUGUGUUGAUCUGUCUCUUUACAAGGUAUUCCCUGUUACAAUUAUUGAGGCAAUACUUUGCUUUUGUAAAGCACUUUGCGUAUCUUAGAAAAGAAAACGGUUAUUCACAGGACAACCAGGUGGUUUUACUACUUAGUGGAAAGUCCAGCUCUGAAAGUGCCGGGAGAUCUUGGAUGGUUAUGCUGCAGACAGAGAACCUCUCUUUUUCACAGCUCUCAAGAACGUUCCCUGCAAAUUAUUACAAUCUCCAAGAAUUGGAGGUACGAAUUUACUUAAAUGAGAACAGUAGGGAGAAACCUACUGAAAUAAGUUAUACUACACAAAAAUAAAGUAGCCAUAUUAGUAGUAAUUAAUCGCUGCAACAAGAUAAACAAAAUUGCACUGGAUCUGUAAAUUGGUCCAUUGACAAGGAGAUGCUUGUUGAAGCUGACUUUACUUUUUUUGCUGGCAAAUGGUAAUAGCGCUAAUUUCCUGCCAUGAACAUGUAUAGGCGCUGGAACUCCAAUUGGAUACAGAUUAUGGAAAAGUUCGUAGCAUCCCUCACCCUUUGUCUACUCCGCUGGCAGUCAGUGGUAGGUCGAGUGUUUAUUUCUGCACAUGAUUUUUAGUUGGUAUUCAUUUCACAUAACGAGUAAUGUUUACAGCCUCAAGAGGAGUGGCUUGUGUCUUCUCAUCGCGGAGGCAUGCUUUGGUCUAUAUCCUUGAUGAGGACGAAGACGAGGAUGAAGAUGAAGAUUCUGAGAUGGAGUGACCAUGGUAACACCAGCAACUUCAGCUCGCCAUGUAGAAGAAAAGAUUGUGGAAUUGCACUAUCCUGUGCUGCAAACAGAGCAUGAGUAGCUGCCAGUCACAAUGAGCAACCUGCAGUCAUGAUCACCGGGAGACGUGUUUGAUCGCCCAGUUGCUGCAGGAAUUCCGUUGCUGCAGCUAAAAGGUGUUGGUACCGGCUUGGUCAGGUCUGAAACCCACAUUUCGGGUGUACAUCUGCAGAGUGAACUUAGGACGAUACUCUGUAAAUGGUGGUGUCGCAACAGAAAUGUUGUACACCGUACAACUUUGUGUACUGAACCAGCGACAAGUAAUAUGGAUCAGAGUACCUAGUUUUUGCUGUUAAUUGUGUGAAGUUGGUGUGUGUGUGUGUGUGUGUGUGUGUCAGUGUGUGUGUGUGUGUUGAUAAGUUAUUAUGCAUGGUUGAGCUUUUAUGUAACACCAGGACAGGACUGAAGCGAAGUCAUCUUGGCAUUUGCCAGUUCACUCGUUUCACAGCUUUGAGUUUUUUAUUUUUUGAGAAUCAUCUCAAAAGCGUACUUAGAACAAAGCGGACAUACAGUAGCCCAUGAGGUCGCGUUUGGCAUGGGCCUCGGCCCAAAACAAGGACGCCUGGUUUAGCCACGAUAGAAUAAUCUUUGUGUCCCCCUUUGCGACGCAACCAACUCGAAUUGCUCUCGGCCCAUUAUAAUAGCGCCUCCUGUCCGUUCUGCUUUCCCGCGGAGCCCCUCUCCCUCACCGCGUACAUCGUCGCCGAGUUCCGAUCCCCCCGUACGUAGAUCUCGAGAAAGGCGCCGCCCGGCCAUCGGUGACGACGAAUCAAUUCCCCGUCAGCGUGUCCAAUCAUGUCGUUGCCGAGUUCGGAUCUCCCCUUAGAUUUAGACCUAGAGAAAGGCGCCGCCGCCUGGCAGGCGGCGACAAAGGAGGAGAGCUGCCCGUGCUGAACCCUCGCAUGGUCAAGUACAUCAUCGCGAUGGUGAGUCUUUUGCUCUUCUCCCGCCUUCUCUUCCUUCUAGAUGAUCUACCCUGCAUCUGUUUCAGUUUCUUUCUGACAGUUAUUCAAUCAUGUCAUUAGUACUCCCUCCGGUCCUUUUUACUCUGCAUAUUAGGUUUGACCGAAGUCAAUCUCAUUCAACUUUGACCAAGUUUAUACAAAAAAUUAUAGACAUUCACAUAACAACACCAAUAUCAUUAGAUUCAUCUUAGAAUAUAUUUUCAUAUUAUAUUUAUUACAUAUUAUAGAUGCUAAUAAUUUCAUAUUAUAGAUGCUAAUAAUUUUCAUAUUAUAUUUAUUACAUAUUAUACUUAGCAAGGUUUGACUUUCGGCAAAUCCAAUGUGCAGAGUAAAAAGGACCGGAGGGAGUAUGUGUUGCUAGUCGUACGCACGCAGGUCACUGUGUCGGGUAUAAUUAUGCAUUGAUGCAUCCUAAUUUGUAAUGCUAGUCAAUUACUUUUAACUUACGAUUGUGUUGGUGUAAGCUCAAACUUCCCAGGGAACUAAUAAUGGUUAAAGUGGAUUGUUGAGAAGCCCACUCAUUGCCACCCCAAAGGAGAGAAACGAGUGAACUGAGUGGCAGAAUGAUCUCACAGCUAGUAUCAAGAGCCUAUAGAACAACUGCUUUUGAUUCAUCUUAAGUGUCUGUUUGCUGAUUUUGGCCAUUCUGAUUUGCUAAUGCUCGGUGUUGUUUUAGUGACGUGUUAACCUUUUCACCAUACUAACCAAGAAUAUAUUGUGACCUCUGGCUCCUGCUUGCCAUGCACUUCAUUGUUGAAUUGCAUACAAUUUAUCUCCUGAAUUUUUCUUUUGUGCUCAGAAACUAACGUUCUAUUAUCAUGCAUGCUGCUUGUCUCUCCUUUGUAGGAUGUGAUCAUAGUGCUGUAUUUGCUGUUUUCAUUUGGCCUGAUCAUAUGGACUACGAAGGUUUCCAACAACUCGUGGGAUGCAUGGCCGGUUGUUAUUAUCUCGUCGCUAGUCUGGAUGUUGUUACUCGGCGUGUAUCUUCCGCUUGCCAAGAAGUGUACACCACGAAGCGAUGAUGGUGAUCUUAGUACCAAACUACUAGUAGCAUCUUAGAAAUAAGCCAGUGAAGUGAAUAAGCGGCACCGUCUAGUUAAUAUUUUAAGUACCCGCGGUUCCCUGUUCGUGGUAAUGAACCGGUAGUUGCAUGAUGCCUGCGUUUAAUCUAGUUCUUGAGCUUUUGCACAACCUCCUGACAGUUGGAGCUGCUUCAAGAUUUGUGUAAAUUUCACUGAGUUAUUGUUUUGGGAGUGUAACUUAACGCUCUGAUGUCUAUGAUUGUACAUUGUUUAUUUCUUGUUCCACGUGAUUUUACUGGUAGAACUCUACUCAUUCUAUUGCGUUAGCACCAGCCAAUAGUAACUUGGUAAGGGACGAUGACCGCGCAUCCAUGUCUGGAUACUAGUUUGGCGAGGAGGGCACCAUGCUAUGGAGUAGAAGCCACGAGCUUCGAUCGCAAGUUCGUUCAGCUGAGUCUCGACUGGGACUAGUUUGGUGGUCAAUCGACUGACCCAAAAUUUAUUUUCAUAUCAUUGAGCUGGGCUAUCUGGGCUGCCUAAUGCUAGAUUGAGGGGGUGUUUGUUUCCAGGAACUUUUUUGUGUAGGGACUAGAAAAAGUCUCUCUUAGAGACUUUUUUACCAAACGGGGGGACUUUUUAGGGACUAAAUUAGGCAUUUGGGACUAAAUGAAGAAGACACUCAAAGAGUCUUUUUGGAACUUUUCCAACAAUGCCCCUCCAUGCACCCAUUGGCCCGCCACCCCAUGGUGUUGUCUGUUUGUUAUUUUUCUAUGUACUAGGGGCAACAUGGUCAUUUAAUAACCUCUAGAAAGGACUACGAACUUUUUAGUCUUUGGAAACAAACAGAGAGGGACUUUUUAGGGACUAGGGACUUUUUAGUUGAGACUAGAAAAAAGUCCUAGAACUAGAGAACCAAACACCACCUGAGACUAUUUUUAGUUGGUUGGUCAACAGUCAGUCCCUAUUGUAAAUAUAGAGAUACAUACUACAAAGUAGCAAAGACAACUACAAUUUUCAUUUCCAUCUUUUUCUUUCGGGACAAGUGAAUUCAUUAAUUAAGCAGCGGCCAUGUCUGCAUUAUAUAGGUCCGGAACCUCGUUCAGACAGGAACAAAGCCACACUGUAGUGCUUCUUUAUUCCACCAAAGUUUGCCAAACAGUGACUAACAUCAUUUUGUUCUCACCUAACAAGCUUAACUAAGAAUUCACCAUGUUUCCAAAGACGCGAAGUAAUCUUGCGGAUCACCAUCAUAUGCUCCGACCGGUCGCGACCACCUGAUCAGCUUUACCACUUCCGCAGUCUGUUUGGAUCACCAAAGGCAGCUCAGACCACUGGGUAGUGAGGGAGACACCUUCUGAACAUGCAGCAAGUUCAGACUCCAGCGGCGAUGCACACUGCCUUAGCUCACGGCAAGAUGAAAAAAUAAUUAUUGAGUAUCGUGAUUAUUAGGAUGUAUAGGAUAGACUAGAAUUUAUCUUUACCUUGUCUUAUACGUCUUGUACUAUAAGUUAAUCGUAUACUCCUAUAUACUCCCUCCAUCUCAAAAGUCUUGUCUUAAAUUUGUCUAGAUACGGAUGCGUGUAAAUACUAAAACGUGACUUGAUACAUUCAUAUUUAGACAAACCUAAGACAAGAAUUUUGAGACGGAGGGAGUAUUCGCCCAUGAAGCUCAAGCAAUACAUCGAAUAAUUUCAUCAAUCCCUCUUUCUUUUCCCUUCUUACAAUAUUCUUUCCACAUGGUAUAAGCCUAAGAGCAUACCCCUUAAACCGCGAAAGGUUUUCAGUUCGCGGAAACCGCGUUUUGAGGGUCGGUUUUAGCUGCGUCCGAACAGAUCCCUCAAACUUAAACAGUAAAACCGAAUAUUUGCUUAUAUUCUUUUUCCACGUCUUCUUCUUCCUCUCGCCCGUGUCCCUGGUCAGUAGCUUGCUCCCACGAAACCGACGGACAACACAUGAAGCGGCCAAAUACGGAGCCGCAGCCGGCCAAAUACGAAGCACAUGAAGCGGCCAAUCCAUGAGCUAGCUACCUCCUCCAUCGGGGUAGCCAGAGCUAGCUAGCUAGCUCAGCUUGAAUCGAUCCAGGAGCUAGCUCCGUCGCCGUAGCGAGAGACGCGGCCGGGGGACCGGGGCGGCGUGGACGGCGGACGCGGACGGGCUGCCUGUGUCCAGGGACGGGCGGGACGGUGUCUGGGGCGGCGCGGAUGGCGGACACGGAAGUUUCCGUGGUAGUUGGGCUCCCGCCAACUGCUUUCUCCCAAUACAGGGCACCGUAUAAGCGGACGCGGAAACUAUGUUUUUGCGGAUCGGGAGAAGUUUUUUACCGCACCCUUUAAAAAAACUAAAGAUUUAAGGUGUAUAAAGGGUCUGUUCGGACUAUUUUUUUCGCCCGAAACUGGAAACUGACGGUUAUUUUGCAGUUUGCUUGGAUAUAAGGGGUCUGCUAGAGAUGCUCUAAGGACAUCUCCAAGGCAGACCCUCAAACCGCUCGCAUACGUCUGGACCGUGAAAACCAGCAAAUGCAGGCCUUUAUCGGUCCACCGAGCAAUCCGGGUGUAUUUUUUCCGGCAAAUGCGAGACAAAUGUGGGACAGGUUUGCGGGAGUGCGGACAUCCAUCUGCCCAAUCAAAAGCCACCACGUAUUCCUCCUCUCAUCCGAAUGACGGAAGGCUACUGCUAAUUUUUAUAUAUGGCGGAAGCUGCUAUUCUUUAAUUAAGGGACAAUGCUAACUUUCGGACGUCCUGAUUUUAGCUAUAGAUCCGGAUGAUCCACAUGCAGCCUUUUCUAUUUCGCGAUUGCAUGUAGUCCGUUUUUUCUCCACAUGCAUGUGAUAAUUAGUGCUUCUUUUCCUCCAUCAUGUUCGUGCGUGGCAUUUGUUAGAAAGCUUAAUUACAUGCAUGCACGUGAGACGAAACUGAUGACAUCACUUUCUAAUAAUAAAGCACAGAUUGAGUCUCCGGAUUCACCGUCACAAUAUGCUUCUUUCCGUGAAUUUACGCUUUCAGCUAUAUUAUUUUCUAUAUACGAGGUGGUAUUAUUUUACCUGCGGUUGAGAUUAAAGAGGACCUGACCCAAAACUUAACCGCGUCUGUGUGGGCAUACGUUCGCACCAACCCAGCUUAAUUUGGGCCGAGCCGCCAGCCCAUCACUGCUUUCUCCCCGUUCGUACCUCCCUGUCCCUCACAAUCUGGACUAUUUUCUUGUCUUUCUUCAAAAAAGAAAAGAAAAAGAGUCGUACUCUCUUCCUAAAAAAAGAAAAACGACCCCCUCAAAAGAAAAACGAUCAGGACUCUCGCUUCCAGUCAAGUCGAACCCUCCUAAAAUACGCCGCUUGUGACGAGGAGAAAUAGCAGGCGAGUUGCUGGACGAGGAGACAUAUAAGCCACCGCGAACGGAAGAGCCACGCCAAGGCCGAUGGCGACGAAGCAACCAUCAUCAUCCUCCUCUCCCGCCCAGGCGUGAGAUCACGUCCUUGCACGUGCCGAGGCCCGAGGCCAACACCAACGAGGCCCUCGAUGUUGGGGAUCCCUUCUUCCCCGAGACCGCAUCACAGCACGAGGACCGCCAGCCGCACAGUGAGGCCAGAGCCAACCAAAGGCGGCGACCCGAUCAGCAAGAGCAGUACAGAAAAUUUGGUCCGUCCCUAUCCUCACAUGGAUUCGUGUACGAGAAGGAUUGGUCCAAUAUCACUCAUGUUUUUCCCGUGAUCAUACGUUCUUCUUCUUUUUCUGUGUGAUCGUGGUUUUGUUACAGCCGCAUCCAAUCUGGUCUCCCUCCCUGAUUAGAUCGGUUCCUCCUCGAUUAUAUAUCUCCACAAAUCAACACUUCCACAACUGUCUAGCCAUUGACGUCGUCUUUCUCACUGCAAACGAUGUCUCAAGUUAUCUUCCCAAGCUGUCUUUCUGUUGGAACGGAACCACGCGGCCGUCGGCCUUCGCUCUAGGUCGAGCUUCAUCUAGACCAGACCAACCCGUGUGAUUCCUCCGGCGACCUUCUCCGCCGCUCAGCGCCAUCUUCGUUGGAUGAUCCCGCUCCCGCCUGCGCGCGUCCUCACUGUUGCUACCGGCCAUCAUAAUCUCACGGCCUCCCAUCCCCACAAAGCAUCCUGGUACAGGAAGUGGGCAGCACACGGUCACAGAAGUGAGCGGCCUUUGGCGCAGAUCAACGGAGGCGCUGGUCGGGAGGGCGUGGUGUGGGCUCGCCAGAGGAGAUGGACGGGGAUGACCGGACGAGGACCGGCUGGUGUGGGGACGGCAGGGGAGGAGAGAGGGACGGCUGCUCUAUAUGUGCGCUGUUGAUGUGCUGCUGUUAGCUGCACCAUACUGCUGCUUCCCUGUUGUUUGUUGAGUGAUGUUGUUGUUAUUGCUGCUGCUAAUUUGAUGUGGAGGACAAGCAGGGAUCGACGGGGAGCGACCGGGCGAUUUAUCUGUGACCUAAAUUUGACAGGUCAAAUUAAGCUGGUCUGUUGGCUGCUGGCUGACUUCAUGUGAUGCUAUAGUGCGCUAUGAAGAAGUAGCGAGGUUUACAUACAGGACCAUGAACCUUUUCAUGUAUUGGAUUUUAUGGUAAAAUAUUGAUUCCUUGACCCCAUUCCUUACGGUUUAUUUGGCAAUUGAUAUUGGGCUAUGUGGAACUACAAUGUCUACCCGGUAAGUUCCCUUACCGCGGUAUCUUUUCUAAGUGCUAAAUCACUUAUUGCUAGCAAGAACUCCUUUUACCAGCAAAGCCAGUGUGCGAGUGUGUGCAGAGAUGUCUCAACAGGAGAAUAGCUCAGUCCUGAGCUAUACAUUUGAUGGAGCUGUCUACAUAAUUUGGACUUAAAAUUACAGUGUAGAAUUGCUUGCAUCUUGCUAAUUCAAAUUUACUUACUAUUUUUUAAACUCUAUGACAACUCUAAACAGCAUAUGUUGUACAAUGUUUUCCAAGAAGUUUAUUUGGAUUUGAUUGUGUCACUUCAAUGUGAGAUGGUGGUAAAUACUGGUCACUAAAUAAUAUAUCACAGUUGAUGUUUAACUUUUGUAAGCUAGAUCGCCUGUAUUGUACGUGUAAUUUCAGAGACAAUAACUAAUUUUCAUGCAUACACAUAUUUUUUCUAUUACAGCAUAUAGCAACUUAAAGGUUGUUGAGUGUUUUUUUCCUUUCUCUUUCCAUCUCACCUUUGGCGACGGACUUACAUGAAAGCUCUCGAACCUACGGUCAUGCCAGUUCCCCAACCCGCAUUUUCUUUCGCUGCAACGCACAACCGGUUUCUCAUCCCAUGUUUUCUCCCGGUGUAAUGCACGGGCUCUUUUGCUAGUCACUAUAGACUCCCCCAUAAUUCAAAAAAUUCAUAAUGUUUUGCAGGCCAAACCAUCGCUCCGAUCGAAAAAUUGCUUUCGCAUAAAAGAACCGUCGCGGCGAGAACUUCGAAACUAGAUCUCAUGUUGAUAUGUUCCGAUGACUUUUUUUCGGGUAAAAGUUACUACCACGCAUAGGAUAUACCAGUUAUCACGUAUAUGAUACAUCAGUUACCAUGAUGUUUACAGGCAAAUUCGGGCAUGAAAAUGACUUCUUCCAAGUUUGUCCCCACAUGCAAAUGCACUAAAAGUGCAGAAAAGUUAAUGUCAUCGUGGAUUCUUUUUAUUUUGAAAUUUUAAAAUAUUUUGUCGCUCGAACCACCUGUUUGAUCCAAAAUCUGUUUUCACAAAAAAAAACA
rnacentral:lncRNA from 1 species